UUGUAAAAUUAUUUCAAAUAUAUAAAAGUUACCUUUUGCAUAAUGGUUUAAUUAAAUUUUAAAAAUUUUUCAUUCCCGAAAUAAAAAGAUCUAAUAAAAAAUUAAAAAUAUGUUUUAAAAUAUUUAUUUAAUUUUUUAUUAGGUGUGAAAGGCUAGUCAAUUUUUAUGAUAUCUGGAUAAGAUUAAAUGUAUUUAGUACAGGCUUAAAGCUGAUGAGCCCCCUGUUAAGGGGGGGCUCAAAAAGUAUAUUGAUAUUAUAAAUUUAUUUAGGAUAAUUCUAUAAUAACUACUGUGUGUUUAUAAUUAUUUAUUUACUGAUCUGGAUUUUUUUUCUAGAAAAUUCUAAUUUCUUAAAUUUUUCAUAAUGUUAAAAUAAGUAUUAUUAUUAAUAAUUUAAAUAUAG
rnacentral:rRNA from 1 species